rnacentral:lncRNA from 1 species
GGGAUGGGUCGUGGUAUUCAGCCACCGCAGUUCCCGAUGAACCCUCAGUUCCAAAUGCUGAACAACAGACCACAAGCUCCAGUGAACCCACAGUUCCCAAUGCAACCGCAGUUUCCAGUGAACCCUCAGUUCCAAAUGCGAAACAACAACAGGCCACAGUCUCCAAUGAACCCAUAUUUCCAAAUGCAACCGCAGUUCCCAAUGAACCCUCAGUUCCAAAUGCGGAACAACAACAGGCCACAGUCUCCAGUGAACCCAUAUUUCCAAAUGCAACCGCAGUUCCCAAUGAACCCUCAGUUCCAAAUGCUGAACAACAACAGAUCACAGUCUCCAAUGAACCC